GACGAACGCUGGCGGCGUGCUUAACACAUGCAAGUCGAACGGAAAGGCCCUGCUUUUGUGGGGUGCUCGAGUGGCGAACGUGUGUGUAACACGUGAGUAACCUGCCCUUGACUUUGGGAUAACUUCAGGAAACUUGGGCUAAUACCGGAUAGGAGCUCCUGCUCCAUGGUGGGGUUUGGAAAGUGUCGGCGGUUGGGGAGGGCUUCGCGUCUAAUCAGCUUGUUGGGGGGGUAGCGGCUUACCAAGGCUUUGAGGGGUAGCCGGCCUGAGAGGGUGACCGGCCACAGGGGGACUGAGACACGGCCCUGACUCCUACGGGGGGCAGCAGUGGGGAAUAUUGGACAAUGGACGGAGAGUCUGAUCCAGAAAGUCUGUGUGGACGAUGAGGUUUUGGGGAAUGAAAAGUGUUUUCAGUUGGGAAGAAGCGAAUGACGGGAACAGGAGAAGAAGUGACGGCUAAAUACGUG
rnacentral:rRNA from 1 species